UUUCAGGUCCGGGAUGGGAAUGUAGGUGAAAGAAAUAAGUUCCUGGACCCGAUCCCUCUCACAUAAAACCUAUUUUUCUUACCCUGUUCAUCUUUCUGAUCCGUCUUCUCUUCCCAACCUCUGCAAACACAGAAGAAAAUCAUCUGGCAGGUUGAUUUAAUCUUACACAGAUUCAAUUUUCUGGAACAUCUUUUCAUACAUUACCAGGUCCACCACCACCAGCAGAAUCUACACCUUCAUCUACUUCUCCUUAUCCAUGCAGUAUCCUCAUCUUCUUUUUGUUGAUUUCAGUUGAGCUUUAAGGAAUUUGCUAGGUUCACUUUUGGUGGUUGAAUGAGAGGCUGGGUUGUGAAGUAUAGGGAAUAGCUUUUAGAAAAAUGGUGCAACAUCUCAAUACAGGCUUGGGUCAGUGCAUUUAAAAGUAUUCAUGAGACUUUGCUGUACUCAAAUGAUUACCAAAUAUUAAUCCUGCUCCUAGCUAACACGGCACCAGACAGAAAAAAAAGGGCUGACAAUGCAUCAACCAGAGCGAUGGCAUACUGUUACUGGGAAGGGCAUGUGUGCUCUCAUGUGGUAACUUCCCUUAUAGAUAUUUGGUUCUUCUAGAGACCUUAUCUAUUUUGUGAUUUGUUUUUGUAAUUUCAGCGAUGUGUAAGUUGUAUUAGAGAAGAGCGCAACUAUGGAGGAACUUCUGUCGCGAUGGUUAAGUGGUCUACGUGGUGCUCUGAUCUGUGUGCAUUCAACUCCUUUAUCAGGACUUCUCAAUUCUAUCAAGACUUAUAUCUAUCUUAUCAGGUCUACUAUUAUGUAUUCAACUCGUUUUUGAUACAUGUGCUCUGCGUUGUCCUCUGAUUACUAGAUAGGAAAUUCGCCUGAUAUGUGUGCUCUACGUGGUUCUCUAAUCAGAUUAGUUAUCCAUAUGGUAGAGCUCUGAAAGAAGUGCUUUCGGUGUUUAUUAAUAUCCCAUUGCCUGGUGAAUGUUGAAACAUGGGCAAUUCGCAAGUGUAAACUUUUGGUUCAUCUGUUUGUAAAUCUUAUUGAUGUUUUAUUAUUCGGCAAAGCGGUCAUAUUAAAUUCGCUAUUUCAUUUUUUCAAGUCAAGUCCAUUUCACAAAGUUAACGUUCCAUGGUGGUUAGCUGUUUGAAUUUCAGUUUCUCAUUGUGGAAUGCACAUGUACAUGUUGUGGUUUUGUAUGGUUAAUGCAAGUCAGGAUUGGUGUAGGUGAAGCUGUUUCACCUUUCCCUAGCUUUAUAAAGUGAAUUAAUGGGAAGAGCAGAUGUACCAUUUGAUUACAAUUGACUGGGUUAAUAUUCGUGCUCACAGAGCUUCCAGAAAGAUGAGUGGUAACUUGUGCGCACUCUCAUCGCGAUAGUAGUAGUCAUGGACAUGGACUUCUUCAAUUCGGAUACAUUGAGUGUUUGAGUAACCUUCUUCAAUUUGUGCAUUUAAUUUUACUUUUGAGGUCUUUGUUGCUCUAUGGGAUGAAUAAGAUUGUUAGACCACAUCAGAAACUUUUGUCGAAGGUUUGGGUGCGUAUAGGACCAUCAAAUGGUAUUGGCGCUGAGACUGCACGCGUACUUGCAAUACAUGGAGUUCAAGUAGUUAUCGCAAAGUUCUGUUGUCGCUCCUUGAUUGCUGUCAAUGACAUUGGAGAUUCAAUCCGUGCAGUUGGUUAGUAAGUUAGAAUAGGCAUAGCUGAACAUAUUUUACAGUCGGUAAUUUCUGAGGUGAGUAGUACAUUAUUCAUCUUCUUCUUGAAAUACUAUUGAGUUUAUCAAUUUGUUCACCAUUGAUUAUGAAACCAUGGUAAGUGACAAGAUAAACAUAUUGCUUACAUUAGACAAACGAAGCAAUGUUGGACAAAAUGUCUACAAUUGUCACCUGAUGAGUCCGAUUUGGGUUCAUCUCCUAAUUACUUUUUCUUCUGUAGUAAAGGUGGAUAAGGUGUAUUUUGAAUAGAUGUUAGGAUAUAUGAAAAAAUCUUCUCUUACCCUAUAACCUAUAAUUAUACCUCCAUACUUAAUUUUGCACCGAUCUUUAGCCUGCAACAACAAGAUAUGUUUCACCUAUAAUUUGUUCUAAUGGGGGAAUUGAUCAAAUCUUUUCUGUGGAGGGUAAACUGGAGCAUACUUGAACAAAGCACAGUUCAUAUCCCUUUCCCAUUCAAAGAUAAAUAAAGUUUAUAAGACAGUUCAAAAUCAUUAAUUGCAAUAUUAUUGUCUUCUUAUUUACUUUUAUAUAUUUUGUUCUAAAGAUUCUGAUUUGCUCUGUUUACACUUUCUGUAUGCAUUGGAAAUCCGCAAGGGGAAUCCAAAUACUACCUACAUUUAGGGAGUCGUUUAAUUUUUAUUCUCCCAUGGUCGUAGGAAUCAUCCUAGAUUCUUUGCCUUUGUCUUUAUGCUGCAGGAUGUCAUGCCUCAUCAGAUCAGGACCAUGUAGAUAGGUAUUAAUUAUGUCAGUUGAUUAUUUGGUUUUCAUUAACAUGGUUUCACUCGAAAAUGGUUCUUUGCUUUCACGUUUUUCCUUGACUAAUUGAUUUGGGACAGUUGGCCCUAUACACAAUUCAUUCUUUAUGAUGUUUUUCAUGCAUACCUAUUAUAUAGGCGUGGAUAUGAUUCUCUAGAUAUAUAACCAUGCUAAUGUCAUCGUUCUUUGACACGUUCUUUCAUCAAAGGACAUCAACUCUGUGUGCCACACGUAUAAAAAAACUUAAAAAUUGUUAAUGAUCUUCAAGUACGUGGACUUUGUAAGCAGCGUCUGCAGGCAUCAAACCAUUUCCAAUUAUUAUGCAUAUAUUUUGACUGACAAAAAGUUGCUUACGUUUGGCUCAUUUUAUAUUUAUGUAGUUUGGUACUAGAUCUGAAAGUCUAUAUUAAUGGCAGAAUGGUUGGAAAUGUAUGAAGCUAAUGGUUUGUGCAAACUAACUGUUAUGACCAAAGAGUGAGGGUAACAAACACGAGAACGAGAUAUAGGAUUUUCAUUCCUACCUAACUUUGAUGGAAGUUAUGUGUGCAUUUUUUACAGUUUAAACAGCAGUGCAGCUCAUGAAUGCAGAAUGGAGACUCAAUCCGUUUCUUGAUGAGAUGGGCAGUCUUGGACUAGGUUCUCAUGGAAUUAGUUUAAUCUCACAAAACUGAAACUCAAGGCUGUCAUGAAUGGUGCUACUUCUCUUUCUCAUGAUCUAAUUUCUGCCUUUGAAGCCAAAUUUGAAAUUUCAUGAUGUACAAGUCAAAGAGAAGGUACUUUGGCGAGGAUUCUAAAGUGGGAUUGGUCUCCAGAUAAUCAUUCUUUUAAUCAUCUUCUGUUGACAGCUAGGACAAAGAGGUGCAAUUAUCAAAAGAGAGUCAAGUGAUGCAGGUCCCGAUGAGAAAAAACCUUGAAAAAUAAAUAAAAACGAAUAACCCUUAAAGCAAGAAAAUACUAGGUUGUACUGAAUUCCUGAUGGCAGUGGAUAAAGGCUUGCUAUGGAUAUUAUUCCCUACUAUGUUGAAAACUAUUAAAACUUGCUCAAAGCAAGCACCCACAAUAGGCAAUAGGUUACAUCUUAGCCUUACAUUGUUGGUAUUUUGUGUAGAUUGUUCAAUUGACGAUUUUACUGAAUUUUGAUUGUAUAGACUGUUUAAUGACACUGAAUAUGUUGAUAUACGAGUACAUGUAUUUUCAUGUGUGCCAGGUAGAACAUUGAAGGAAUGCAUGAAUAUGGUACAUAUGAAACAUAUGAGAUACUUGGUCAUGCA